rnacentral:rRNA from 1 species
ACGAACGCUGGCGGCGUGCUUAACACAUGCAAGUCGCACGGAAAGGCCCUGCUUUUGUGGGGUGCUCGCGUGGCGAACGGGUGAGUAACACGUGAGUAACCUGCCCUUGACUUUGGGAUAACUUCAGGAAACUGGGGCUAAUACCGGAUAGGAGCUCCUGCUGCAUGGUGGGGGUUGGAAAGUUUCGGCGGUUGGGGAUGGACUCGCGGCUUAUCAGCUUGUUGGUGGGGUAGUGGUUUACCAAGGCUUUGACGGGUAGCCGGCCUGAGAGGGUGACCGGCCACAUUGGGACUGAGAUACGGCCCAGACUCCUACGGGAGGCAGCAGUGGGGAAUAUUGCACAAUGGGCGGAAGCCUGAUGCAGCAACGCCGCGUGCGGGAUGACGGCCUUCGGGUUGUAAACCGCUUUCGCCUGUGACGAAGCGUGAGUGACGGUAAUGGGUAAAGAAGCACCGGCUAACUACGUG